UUUAAUAAUUGAUCGAAAUUUGAACCUUGAAAAUAUCAGAAAAAUACAUUAUAUUAUUUUCAGUAUUUUUAUACUAAAAUUAGCAUAUUACACCGUUUUCGACCAUUUUGCAACAUUUAAAAUUUUUAAUAUUUUGUCCUACACAAUGCAAAGCUAUAUAAAGUCGUCAAUUGUGUUUAGCUUGUUUUGUGGAACUGAAUCUGAUAAAGAUUAAAAAUACUAAAUAUGUACAGCACUUGAGCACUUAGAAGAGGAGGUUUCUGUGGUCGCUUAGUAAAUUCAAAGUGCAGCAUUUGGCAGAACUAUGGCAGAGGCUCCAUUUGUUACGUGUGGAUGGCGUAACUGAUGACGCUGUUCGACGAGAGCGAGGAGAGCGAGUGGCACAUCCAUUGUUUGAUCAUCCACAAGCACAAUAUCAAAGGUAUUCAUAUACUUUUCCAUGUUUGCCUCCACGUGAUCAAAUAGAAACCCUAUUUUCAUGAUGUGAGAUGAAGCGGGCACACCGUUAGCCAUGUCCGCAUCGCCGAGAGAGUCACCCAUGACAAUGAUGUGAUCACGUGUGUGUACAAGCUCAUAAUACUCGCUGCCAUCCAAUACCGUUUCGUUUUUGUUGAAGGUGUGAAUCAUCGGCUGCUGGAAGCCAUCGAGCACCCCGUCGCGAUACUGCAAAAAGUUUGACACGACCUUGACAUUGGGAUGCAUUAUGUUUGCUUGCUGCAGCACCGACACUACGGAAUUGCCCAGUCCGGCGGAGAACACGAGCACCGGUAUUUGGAGACGGAGAA